CAAUCAGAAGUUCCAGCCAUGCCCCCAGUUGUACAAACUCUCUCUCCUCCACGGGGCCCUUCCCUCCUCUGCUUGGGGAGGAGCCUUGGAAGAAGGACGGAAAGAGAGGAGCAGGAAAGAGGACCACUCUGCAAAAAGGAAAAAGUUCAAUAGGGAAACUGAGGCCAAGAAGAGGAAGCCCAGGAGUUGGCUGCUUCUCCCAAAUUCCUCAAGGAUGAGGACUGGGUUUGGCCCAUGGUGGCCCCCCGCGCCCCCAGAGCCCAGCACAGGCCUGGCCCAGAGCAGAUGCUCUGGACCGGGCUGUGGUGGAGGAGGGGGCUCUAGGACACCCCUUCAGUCCUGGCUCAGCCAGACAGCGGAGGCAGCAGGGGGAGCUUCUCUGAGAUCCGCUGGCAGAGUGUCUUCAUCAAGGAGAGACAGCAAUGGGCCUCACGUUUCACUGACAAGAAGGGUAGUCCGGUCAGGAACCAGCAUCACCAGCAUCGGGCCAGAAGAAAGGGCAGAUGAAGAAACCGAGGCUCAGAACAUGAAAAGAGACUUGCUCAAAGGCACCCAGCUAAUGUGUAUCAGGAAUAGAAUACAGCUGAUCUGCAGGCCACCUUUUAUCAGGGCAUCUGUCAUAGCUUCAGAGAUGUAAAGUCUCCUCUCAAAUUUCUCUCCUUUAGCUGACCCUGAGACAACACCAUCGGCAUGAUCUUCUACAGCUCAACUCCAGUCAACAACCUUCAAUGACUCCUACUGCCUGGAGCUCCACACUUCCAAAUUCAGCUGAACCUCCCCUUUCGGGCCCCCUCUCAUCCCUCUCCCUUAUGUCCUCUGUAUUAUGUAGCCUGGCUGUGACCCGAACAUUCACCAAGCUUCCCCUCCUUUGCUCAUGCCGUCCCUACCACUUGGAGUGCCCUCCCUGCCACCUCCACCUGUGGUGAUGCCAUCUUAGACUUCAACACACAGCUCAAGUGCUGCCUCCCCAAUGAAACCUUCCCCAAUCCCUUCAACCAGAUACAAUGAAACAAGCCACUUC